GGGUCAAUAGGUUGGUCGUGCCACCGGUACGUACUGGUCUCACUGAUUCCUCCUUCCUGAACAACCGUAAUGCCAUUAAUUUGGUGUUGCUGGGAAACAGGACUGUUACUUUGAAAAAAUUAGAGUGUUUAAAGCAAGCUAACGCUUGAAUACAUUAGCAUGGAAUAAUGAAAUAGGACGAUCGAUCCUAUUUUGUUGGUUUCUAGGAUUGACGUA
rnacentral:rRNA from 1 species